UAACGAGGAUUCCCUCAGUAACUGCGAGUGAAGCGGGAAGAGCUCAAAUUUGUAAUCUGGCGGUCCCCGGCCGUCCGAGUUGUAAUCUGUAGAGGCAUCGUCUGCGUCGGCCCGCACACGAGUCUCCUGGAAUGGAGCGUCAUAGAGGGUGAGAAUCCCAUCCAUGGUGCGGAUGACCGAGGCUCCGUGAGGUGCCCUCGAAGAGUCGCGUUGUUUGGGAAUGCAGCGCAAAAUGGGUGGUAAACUCCAUCUAAGGCUAAAUACGGGCGAGAGACCGAUAGCGAACAAGUACCGUGAGGGAAAGAUGAAAAGCACUUUGAAAAGAGAGUUAAACAGCACGUGAAAUCGUUGAAAGGGAAACGUUUGAAGUCAGUCGCGUUCCGGGCAUUCAGCCCGGCUUGGGGCUUGGUGCACUUGCCUUGGAACGGGUCAGCAUCGAUGUCGGCCGGCGGACAAGGGUGGGGGGGCAUGUGGCGUCGUUCGGACGACGUGUUAUAGCCCCCCAUCGGAUGCGUCGGCUGAGAUUGAGGGUGGCAGCACGCCCUUGUGGCCGGAGGCCUCUGGCCUCACGUAACGUGCUCAGGAUGUUGGCAGAAUGGCUUUAAGCGACCCGUCUUGAAACACGGACCAAGGAGUCUAACAUGCUUGCGAGUGUUCGGGUGGAAAACCCUUGCGCGAAAUGAAAGUGAAAGUUGGGAGCCCUCGUUCGAGGGGCGCACUGACGCCCGGCCCGGAAGACCUCUGACGGUGCUGCGGUGGAGCAGGCGUGUUGGGACCCGAAAGAUGGUGAACUAUGCCUGAAUAGGGUGAAGCCAGAGGAAACUCUGGUGGAGGCUCGCAGCGAUUCUGACGUGCAAAUCGAUCGUCGAAUUUGGGUAUAGGGGCGAAAGACCAAUCGAACCAUCUAGUAGCUGGUUCCCGUCGAAGUUUCCCUCAGGAUAGCAGAGACUCGGGUCAGAUUUAUGUGGUAAAGCGAAUGAUUAGAGGCCUUGGGGUUGGAACAACCUCAACCUAUUCUCAAACUUUAAAUGCGUAAGAGCGGGCGGUCUCUCGG
rnacentral:rRNA from 1 species